GAUGAACGCUGGCGGCGUGCCUAAUACAUGCAAGUCGAGCGAACGGACGAGAAGCUUGCUUCUCUGAUGUUAGCGGCGGACGGGUGAGUAACACGUGGAUAACCUACCUAUAAGACUGGGAUAACUUCGGGAAACCGGAGCUAAUACCGGAUAAUAUUUUGAACCGCAUGGUUCAAAAGUGAAGGACGGUCUUGCUGUCACUUAUAGAUGGAUCCGCGCUGCAUUAGCUAGUUGGUAAGGUAACGGCUUACCAAGGCAACGAUGCAUAGCCGACCUGAGAGGGUGACCGCCCACACUGGAACUGAGACACGGUCCAGACUCCUACGGGAGGCAGCAGUAGGGAAUCUUCCGCAAUGGGCGAAAGCCUGACGGAGCAACGCCGCGUGAGUGAUGAAGGUCUUCGGAUCGUAAAACUCUGUUAUUAGGGAAGAACAUAUGUGUAAGUAACUGUGCACAUCUUGACGUUACCUAAUCAGAAAGCCACGGCUAACUACGUG
rnacentral:rRNA from 1 species